UCAAGCCUGCUUUAAGCUCAGAAGAUGGUCGGCUUGCGCCUGCACCUAUGAAAAACCAAGCUGCACCGCAUGCCGAAGACCAAACAACAGCACCUAACCUUCAGCAAUAACCGAGUUCAAAGCAAAACUCUGGUGUUUACAAGGUGCCGAGACAAUUAAACCAGUUGAGGAAGAAGCUGUAAGAAUGAAUCAUCCCCGUUAAGCUUGAUCCCAGAGGAAGGUACUACCCAUCAACUCUAAGCUGUUUGUAUACGACGCGAGCUAACCUCUCGUAAGUUGGCCAUUUCAUCCAUCACCCG
rnacentral:misc_RNA from 1 species